GACGAACGCUGGCGGCGUGCUUAACACAUGCAAGUCGAACGGUAAGGCCCUUCGGGGUACACGAGUGGCGAACGGGUGAGUAACACGUGGGUGAUCUGCCCUGCACUUCGGGAUAAGCCUGGGAAACUGGGUCUAAUACCGGAUAGGACCACUGCCUGCAUGGGUGGUGGUGGAAAGCUUUUGCGGUGUGGGAUGGGCCCGCGGCCUAUCAGCUUGUUGGUGGGGUGAUGGCCUACCAAGGCGACGACGGGUAGCCGGCCUGAGAGGGUGACCGGCCACACUGGGACUGAGAUACGGCCCAGACUCCUACGGGAGGCAGCAGUGGGGAAUAUUGCACAAUGGGCGCGAGCCUGAUGCAGCGACGCCGCGUGAGGGAUGACGGCCUUCGGGUUGUAAACCUCUUUCAGCACCGACGAAGCGCAAGUGACGGUAGGCGCAGAAGAAGGACCGGCCAACUACGUGCCAGCAGCCGCAGUAA
rnacentral:rRNA from 1 species